CCCUUAGAUGUUCUGGGCCGCACGCGCGCUACACUGAUGCAUUCAACAAGCCUAGCCUUGACCGAGAGGUCCGGGUAAUCUUUGAAACUGCAUCGUGAUGGGGCUAGAUUAUUGCAAUUAUUAAUCUUCAACGAGGAAUGCCUAGUAAGCGUGAUUCAUCAAAUCGCGUUGAUUACGUCCCUGCCCUUUGUACACACCGCCCGUCGCUCCUACCGAUUGAAUGUGUUGGUGAGGAGCUCGGAUUGGCAGCAGUUGGUGGUUCGCCACCGGCUAUUGCUAAGAAGUCCUCCAAACCGCCCCAUUUAGAGGAAGGAGAAGUCGUAACA
rnacentral:rRNA from 1 species